UACGUAGGGGGCAAGCGUUGUCCGGAUUUAUUGGGCGUAAAGAGCGUGUAGGCGGCCUUACAGGUCAGCUGUGAAAACUCGAGGCUCAACCUCGAGACGUCGGUUGAAACCGUAUGGCUAGAGUCCGGAAGAGGAGAGUGGAAUUCCCGGUGUAGCGGUGAAAUGCGCAGAUAUCGGGAGGAACACCGGUGGCGAAGGCGGUUCUCUGGGCCUGACCUGACGCUGAGGAGCGAAAGCGUGGGGAGCGAACAGG
rnacentral:rRNA from 1 species